UGCUGGCUGCUUGCUGUUGUUGUCCCAGCUGUUGGACACAAGCUGUUGUUGGUCGUUGGACACUAGCUGUUGUCAUAAGCUGUUAUUGUGACUACCUGUUGUCAUUGGUUGUUAUUGCGACUAGCUGUUGUUAUUGCGACUAGCUGUUAUUAUUGCGACUAGCUGUUAUUAUUGCGACUAGCUGUUGUCAUAAGCUGUUAUUAUUGCGACUAGCUGUUGUCAUAAGCUGUUAUUGCAACUAGCUGUUGUCAUAUGCUAUUAUUGCGACUAGCUGUUGUCAUAGGCUGUUAUUGCGACUAGCUGUUAUUAUUGCAACUAGCUGUUGUCAUAGGCUGUUACUGCGACUAGCUGUUGUCAUAGGUUGUUAUUGCGACUAGCUGUUGUCAUAAGCUGUUAUUGCUACUAGUUGAUGUUGGGGAAGUGCCUGGUGCAGCCUUGACCCUGGGUGGACGCCCGGCUCCUGCUCGGCUUGGGAGCCACCGGUUCACAGGACACCUGACACAUUAUCUGGGGGUCGACAGAUAGUCUUCCAGCUGGUGCUGAGAGCUUCAGCGUUCACAUCCUCAGGGUAGGCCAGAGGCUGUCAAGCGUCUGCCAUACCAAGGUUACCCGCUGCAGGGCAAAGUUGUCUGUUGCUGACAGGCGAAGUUUUAGCCACAAGGCGUAGUAGAGGUUUCUACUAACAAGGGAAUGCCAGGGCACAUAAUUUCCUGCAUUUGCCAUCAAAUCAACCCUGGCCACUAGUUCAUUGUAAUUUUUUUGUGAUUUCUGUUGCAUCCUUGAACAGCCAUAAAUCUAUAAGCCCUAGUUGUGCAGCAGUCACCAUAAGGAGACAGAGAUUAUUUAGUCCUUUAUGGUUAUGGUUUUACCUCAUUAGGCAAGUGUGAGCUUACUGUUUCACAGCUAAGGCAAACAAUUUUGUUUAAUUACCCUAGUGUAAGGAGAGCAACUGGAGUCUGGAAUCAUCGAGGUAUCAAUAGUGAGAUUUCUAAUUUGAUCUGUGUGAAGAGUGGGUCUAGCAUCCUCCUCACCAAGAGUCGACAAAUCUUUGGUGCAUGGCAUAGAUUACUCCUGGAUGCCACUUUAUUUUUACCAUCAGACUUAAAUCUUAUUCAGGAAAUAAAGCAGGCAUCAUUCGGACAGAAUUUGUUUAAAUCUAACAACAACUAGUUAACAAUGGCCUCACGAUAUGGAUUUGUUCAUACAAGAAACUUAUUGAAGUCAGUUAAAAGUGGAUGGCUGGAUGUAUAUCCCUCUCAAAAAUUUUCUAAGUACGUACAAUAUGGUUCGAGAAGUAAUGGCAAUAUUGCAUAUAGCUCAAGACUGGGACAGUCAUUUAAGAAGAGUGAAUACAACUGUCUCCUUCAUACUAGUGUGACUUCUGAAGUGCUGGAUGAUUACUUCCUUGAACAUGACGCAAAUGGUCUAAAUAUGCAAGGAACUCUUCGGAUUUUACUUCUUUUGAAUACAACUCAAAAUGACUCCAAAAGCGUAUUGAGUCUGCUGAAGAAAGCAAAAAUUAAUGGUGUAAAACCCAGUGCUGAUACAGUGACAAGCAUUAUAAUGGCCUACAUCAGAAACAAAAAUAUUGAUGCAGCCGUCAACAUGUACUCUACUCUUCAAGUAGAUUAUCCAUCAUAUACUUUAGAUCAUUGCAAAAUUCUCGACCUUGGUACACUUUUAAUUGAAAAUGGAAGAACCCAAGAGGCAGUUCAGAUGUUGAAGGGACAUUUGCAGUCAGAGGUUAAAGAGAGUUUUGAUAUGAACCUAAUCAGGAAAAAUUGCAAAAAUCUCUUGAUAGCAUCAGCUGCAACCUGUGAUUAUGAGUUAACAAAACAGCUCUUCAAUAUGCUACUGUCUGGGGGACUUGUGAAGCCAGACAAUUUCAUUGUAGUAACAUUAUUACAAUGUAAAUUGAAUAGUGGAGAUUUAAGCGGUGCCAUAGAUGUGAUAGAAGAUCUUUAUGAAAGCUGUAACCUUCUUCCAAGAAGGAUGGAAAUGCUUAUUCUCAUCAUCCGUCAUUUACAAAAUUCAAAUCAAAAUAUAGAAUUACCUAAUUUUGUGUGCAGUGAUAGUGAGCAAUCUGUACCGGCCAGUGGUCUUCUGGAACGCAUGUUUAACCUUAUAGUUCAACGCAACAACUACAGACUAGCCCAACAUGACUUGAUGUUUGCUUGUUUGGAAACGGGGCAACCUGAUGAGGCUAAACAAAUCCUACAGAAUUUAGGAGAGGAAGCUGAUGUGAAUCUACUGAAUAAAAUGUGCAAGUUGUAUUCUAAGAUGGAGUUAGAAGAUCCUUUACUUCAUCUUCUGAAUAUUUCUAAAGGAAAUGAUGCUGUUGAUCGUCACAAGGUUUUUGCUGCUCUCCUUCAUAUAUACAAUGUGCAGAAUGCUGCAGAAAAGGGACUGGCUCUACAUGCAUCUAUGCAAGAGGAGAACUUGUUGCCAUCAAAACCCUUUCUAUCAACUCUUGCAUUACUUUUGACAAAUAAUAAUAUCAAGAUCCCUCUUCAUAUUUAGUGAUAAGGGCACUUUUCUGGGAGACCCCUUGGUGGCUCCCUGUUGCUACCUCACCGAGAUUCCUCCAUGCUAUAAAGAAUGUUUCCUAUGCAACUUGAUAGGAACCAGAUUAUUAAGAGACGAGAGGAAAGGUUGGCAAAGACUAGCGUCAUGAGGCCAUAUAGCAAAAAUGUAAACUAGUUUUCAGUGCAUUUUGAAUAAUUUGUGGAGCUAUUUGAAAGGUUCAAGGCUUUGGUUCUUGUGGACCUAGCAGUUGUCUGUAAAGUUUCCCAGACUUUCUAGCACUUGCCUUAUUUGUUGCCCAUGCCACAAUUUUCGACUUGAAAAUGGUCCAGGAUGGACUGAAACAUCAUCUCUCAAUCUUCUGGGGGUGUGGUUUGGUCGUCUUUAUGUAUGCUUUCCCAGUGAAAUGUCAUUUGCUCCUUGCACCUGAGGGGAUAAGGCCAGGUUCUGGCUUUAGUUCAAACAUAACUCCCACAACUGAUGUGACUGCCAUGUAAGACUACAGGAAGCCACAGUGGUACUACCAGAAAGAGUUUUAUUACAUUCAACACUGGGUUUUCUCAAGUGUUAUUGUUGUAUUCAACAUAUUUUAUAAUAAAAUGGUUGUAAGAGCUACUACUGAAGUAAAACCAAUGAAUACUA
rnacentral:misc_RNA from 1 species